AGGAGCAGAUGGAAACAGCUGCCAACAGAUGAGUACUGGAAUGGAUUCAAGCCACACUACUUGCUGGAACUUGAGAGUUUGUGAAGGCCUGAGCUUUCCCAACCACAGGGAAUCAGUGGGAGACCUUCACAAAGUUGGACUUUGCUGAAGAUGCUGCGUGGCCAAUCCUGCCUUGGAGCCUCCUCUGGUCCAUGGGAGUCUGGGCUGCUCCACAGAAUGGUCCCGUGCCUUGACAUUGAUUUAUCAUCCACCAUGACCACAAGCUCAGGGAUGAGGAAGGAAUACCCAUGGCUGCUACCAUCCCUGACCCUCUGGCUUCAGAUAAAUCACCAAGCUUGGAGCAUGACUGCCCCAGAAAGAAGGAGAAGCAACUGCAUUGCUCUGCUCAACGCGUGGCAGCUUGCUCCUCUCCUCUCCUCUCCACAGAACAUUGAUCUUCAAGGCCAUACACAAUUAAAGGAGUGGGAGACAUUCCCUGGAAUUAGCUGUUCCCUCUUUCGUUUUCCUGCUUAAGGUAAGAGCUGCACAAACUUCUUCUAUAAGAGUCACCUAACAGAGAAUACAAUGACUGGUCUGUCAUCAAAGUAUUUAGGGAUGGUGACGAUACCUAGAUUGGUUUUCAGUGUGUUUUUUGUUUUUAUUUUACUGUGAUGUUUCUACAAAAUCCAUAAAUCAUAGGGAUGUGAUAAGAAACAGGUCGCAGUUGCUGGUUAUUCUUGUCCAGAUGCACAGAAAUGCCCUGAUUGUUAUUUUCCAAUGACAACCAGCUCAGGGCUAAACAUUUUUCAGUUGCACAGCCAGCUUUCAAGGUUACACAUAGAUACUGAAUGAAACAGAGCCCACUGGUUAUUUUUAGAGAGGCUCUAAACAAGAAGCAAAUCCCUGUAGCAGUGCUGCCAGAGAUGCAUAAAGUUCAAAUCCAAAUUAAAACUGCCUAUCUUUGGCCUACAUUCCAGCUUGAACUUGAGGAAAACUGUGAUCUGUGACUUGAACUUUAUGACAAAAACUCAUUCGCAAUUAGUUUCUAAUACCUGAGAAUACAUGAACUUGGCGCAAACACUUAAAUAGAACUUGAAUGAAAAAUGUGAACACUUGUCCCAAAAUGUAGUACCUGUUCUUGUGAGUUUUGUAUGGUUUCAGUAGCUACACUGGAAUUUGGAGUGUCUAAUUUUUUGUGAUUCUUAGUUCAACACAUCUUUGUAAGAUCAAGUCCUACAAUGUAAUUGUAAAUUUUGGGGGCAGGAGGAGAAACAUGCUUAUUUAUUGAUCCUUCUAAUAAUCUGUGAUGCUCAGGUCUAGGUUUAGCAGUGACCACAACAGACUAUGAAGAAAGGAGACCCUUUGACAGCAGCAUAUUUAUGCAAAGUAGUGCAACUGAAGCAUGUUCUUGAUUUCUUUGCUGAAUCAGAGCCUGUAUCUUCUUCCUGCCAAGGCAGCGAUCUAAUACCACUCCCAAUGCACUAGUAAUUCUAGAAGCCCUAACGAAAGUCAAGAUAACACCACAGAUUUUAUAAAUAAGGGUCUUUAUUUAGAAUACUGUUGAAAACAUUCUUGGCAACCAAAUCAUAUAAAUAUAUAAAGUUAAAGUUUGACACAACAAACCAAGCAAUAUUAAAUAUUUUUAAAUUUUUCCCCUUUUUAAGUUUUUGGUUUUUUCUUUUUUUUUUUUUUUUAAUUUUUUUUCUUUUUUUUUCUUUUUUUUUUUUUUUUGGAAAGCAACUCUUAUUUACAGUUAUACAAAAGUUUUAUAAAAAAUGGUCCACAACCUUAUUUUGGCCAGAACAGGAGUAAUAGGAAGGAUCUAUCAUGCCACUACUGCUGUAGAUUUCUAUUUUCCUCCACAUUCAAGAGCCAGUUUCCUAUUCCCCACAGCCCAGAUUAAACAUUGGCCAUUUCAUGGUAUACGAUUUUAUCUCUAGACGCAUUAAAUAACUUUAGUUUAACAACCAAUAAAUAACUAUGUGUACUUUGAAGUGAUACAGGUUUGCAAAGUUAGAUAGUUGAAGGAAUUUUCAGUGAUAUUUUAAAAUUG